rnacentral:misc_RNA from 1 species
GAUGAAGAACGUAGCGAAAUGCGAUAAGUAGUGUGAAUUGCAGAAUUCAGUGAAUCAUCGAAUCUUUGAACGCACAUUGCGCCCUUUGGUAUUCCAAAGGGCAUGCCUGUUCGAGCGUCAUUUGUACCUUCAAGCUUUGCUUGGUGUUGGGCGUUUUUUGUCUCCCUCUUUCUGGGAGACUCGCCUUAAAACGAUUGGCAGCCGGCCUACUGGUUUCGGAGCGCAGCACAUAUUUUGCGCUUUGUAUCAGGAGAAAAGGACGGUAAUCCAUCAAGACUCUACAUUUUUAACUUUUGACCUCGGAUCAGGUAGGGAUACCCGCUGAACUUAAGCAUAUCAAUAAGCGGAGGA